rnacentral:rRNA from 1 species
CCUACGGGAGGCAGCAGUGAGGAAUAUUGGUCAAUGGGCGUGAGCCUGAACCAGCCAAGUCGCGUGAGGGAUGAAGGUUCUAUGGAUCGUAAACCUCUUUUAUCAGGGAAUAAAGUGUGGGACGUGUCCCGGUUUGUAUGUACCUUAUGAAUAAGGAUCGGCUAACUCCGUGCCAGCAGCCGCGGUAAUACGGAGGAUCCGAGCGUUAUCCGGAUUUAUUGGGUUUAAAGGGUGCGUAGGCGGCCUGGUAAGUCAGCGGGGAAAGGCGGGGGCGCAACCCCCGGACCGCGGUUGAAACUGGAAGGCUUGAGGUGGGGAGAGGUAUGCGGAAUGCGUGGUGUAGCGGUGAAAGGCAUAGAUAUCGCGCAGAACUCAGGUGGCGAAGGCAGCAUGCCGGAUCCACACUGACGCUGAGGCACGAAAGCGUGGGUAUCGAACAGGAUUAGAUACCCCAGUAGUC